CUCAAGUAAGAGAAAAGCAACUCCAGUAGGCCUUGGGCUGGCUAACAACAAGAAACUGGUCAUUCAAAAGAUACAAUUUACCCUUAGCAAUGCCAUAGUUGCAGGCUGCUGUGGGCGCUAGUGAUCAAAUUAUCCAAGUGAACGGUAAUGGCUAAUGCCUAAUUCAUUAUGGCUCUGAACACAAUAUUCAUAAUAAACAUUUGAGCAAUAUAUAUGUAUUUCAAACUGUUGAGUUGUGCAUUGCGAUUCAAGCAACGACUUAAAUGCCGCACAGUCCAGCAAAUACAAUGGCAAGAAAAAGUGAAAGUCUAAAAAAUGUUAUAAUAAAAACAAUCUAUGAAUAAGAUACUACAAGCCGA